rnacentral:sRNA from 1 species
ACAUGUUGCCAGGCCAGCUUGAAGGUAA